rnacentral:rRNA from 1 species
AUUGAACGCUGGCGGCAGGCCCAACACAUGCAAGUCGAACGGUAGCACAGAGAGCUUGCUCUCGGGUGACGAGUGGCGGACGGGUGAGUAAUGUCUGGGAAACUGCCCGAUGGAGGGGGAUAACUACUGGAAACGGUAGCUAAUACCGCAUAAUGUCGCAAGACCAAAGAGGGGGACCUUCGGGCCUCUUGCCAUCGGAUGUGCCCAGAUGGGAUUAGCUAGUUGGUGAGGUAAUGGCUCACCAAGGCGACGAUCCCUAGCUGGUCUGAGAGGAUGACCAGCCACACUGGAACUGAGACACGGUCCAGACUCCUACGGGAGGCAGCAGUGGGGAAUAUUGCACAAUGGGCGCAAGCCUGAUGCAGCCAUGCCGCGUGUAUGAAGAAGGCCUUCGGGUUGUAAAGUACUUUCAGCGGGGAGGAAGGCGAUACGGUUAAUAACCGUAUUGAUUGACGUUACCCGCAGAAGAAGCACCGGCUAACUCCGUG